ACGGGAGGCAGCAGUGGGGAAUAUUGGACAAUGGGGGAAACCCUGAUCCAGCGACGCCGCGUGAGUGAAGAAGUAUUUCGGUAUGUAAAGCUCUUUAAGCAGGGAAGAAAAUGACGGUACCUGCAGAAUAAGCCCCGGCUAACUACGUGCCAGCAGCCGCGGUAAUACGUAGGGGGCAAGCGCUAUCCGGAUUUACUGGGUGUAAAGGGAGCGUAGACGGCAUAGCAAGUCUGAAGUGAAAUCCCGCGGCUCAACUGCGGGACUGCUUUGGAAACUGUCAUGCUAGAGUGUCGGAGAGGUGAGUGGAAUUCCCAGUGUAGCGGUGAAAUGCGUAGAUAUUAGGAGGAACACCAGUGGCGAAGGCGGCUUACUGGACGAUAACUGACGCUGAGGCUCGAAAGCGUGGGGAGCAAACAGGAUUAGAUACCCUGGUA
rnacentral:rRNA from 1 species